rnacentral:rRNA from 1 species
AAAAACAACUUUCAACAACGGAUCUCUUGGCUCUCGCAUCGAUGAAGAACGUAGCGAAUUACGAUAUGUAAUGUGAAUUGCAGAAUUCAGUGAAUCAUCGAAUCUUUGAACGCACCUUGCGCUCUUUGGUAUUCCGAAGAGCAUGCCUGUUUGAGUG